GGGAAUCACUGUUCUCCAUAUACUGAAGAGUCCUGUAAGAAAAAGGACAGCGCCAUCCCCAAGUCAGACAUUUGUGUGUCUUAGCUCAACAGAUGCCGUAUUAGGAACACACAUUAUGGCUCCACUAUCUAGAUGAGGCUGCUGCGGCUGAAGGAGUUUCAGUGACCGUGCCAACCCACGUAGUGGCAGAGGUGAGACCAGAACCCACAGGGUGACCUGCCAGAGGAGGACGUGUCUGAGAGGGAGCAGGUGUCAUUAGUCAUUUCACUGAAGUCAGAGGUAAAACUGGGAUUGCUGGGCAAGGCGGGACAUGGGGGUAACGUAAAUGUCCAGGGGCUCCGGCCUCGAGACCAGAGUGCCCCGGGGAGCACAGGGACCUGCAGGAGCUGCCUCAUGACACGUAACUCCAGGAUCAAGCGGCUGGGCUGAGAGGGACAUUUGGGGGAGUAUCGGAGAAUGGGGAAAAGUGUCCAGUGUCUAAAAUCUUCCCACAGCUUUGACUUAACACCUCAGUGGCCAAGUCAAAGUCAAAAAAGAAAAGAGAGAGAGAGAAAGAAAAGAUGCAGAGUGCAAACUUGAAAAGCCAUUUGUUUCUAGAUGAAUUUCCUGGGCGGCAGUAACAAAUUCCUACAAACAGGGUGGUAAAAACAACAGAAAUGGGUUUUCUCCAGUUCUGGAAACCAGAGUCCAAGAUCAAGCUGUUGGCAGCAUUGGUUCCUCCCCAGGGCACUCGGGGGAGAACCGUUCCCUGCCUGUCUUCCAGCCUCUGGUCUCUGCCUGCAGGCGCUGGUGCUGCUCGGCUUGUAAACAGGUCAUUCCCAUCUCUCCCUCCGUCUUCACGUGGCCUUCUUCCUUCGGUGCCUCUGGGUCGCUGUGUCUAAACUAUGAGGACAUCAGUCACUGUAUGAGGAACCACCCUAAUCCAUAGAACCUCAUCAUAACUUGGUUGCAUCUGCCAAGACGUUUUUUCAAGUAGAAUGACAGAGAAAGCUAUUGAUCUCUGAACUACUCUAGAAGAUACAGAAGAUCCUUCACAGGUUUCUGCAAGCACCCACUUCAUUGUCCCACCCAACUCCUUCUCUCCUGGCUUCCCCAACCCUUGGCAGCUGCUAAUCCACUCCCAUCUCUAAAGACUUGUAAUUUUGAGGACGUUAUACAAAUAAAAUUGUAC